rnacentral:rRNA from 1 species
UGGGGAGUAUUGGACAAUGGGGGAGGACCCUGAUCCAGCGACGCCGCGUGAGUGAAGAAGUAUUUCGGUAUGUAAAGCUCUAUCAGCAGGGAAGAAAGAAAUGACGGUACCUGAGUAAGAAGCCCGCUAACUACGUGCCAGCAGCCGCGGUAAUACGUAGGGGCGAAGCGUUAUCCGGAAUUACUGGGUGUAAAGGGAGCGUAGACGGUAAAGCAAGUCUGGAGUGAAAGGCUGGGGCCCAACCCGGCAGCUGCUCUGAACUGGAAUAAUAACUGGAGUGCAGGAGAGGCAGGCGGAAUUCCUAGUGUAGCGGUGAAAUGCGUAGAUAUUAGGAGGAACACCAGUGGCGAAGGCGGCCUGCUGGACUGUAACUGACGUUGAGGCUCGAAAGCGUGGGGAGCAAACAGGAUUAGAUACC